rnacentral:rRNA from 1 species
UAGCAAUAUCAUAGUGGCGCACGGGUGCGUAACACGUAUGCAACCUACCUUAUACUGAGGGAUAGCCUUUCGAAAGAGAGAUUAAUACCUCAUAACACAUUGAACUGGCAUCAGUUUAUUGUUAAAGAUUUAUUGGUAUAAGAUGGGCAUGCGUCCAAUUAGUUAGUUGGCGAGGUAACGGCUCACCAAGACGAUGAUUGGUAGGGGAACUGAGAGGUUAAUCCCCCACACUGGCACUGAGAUACGGGCCAGACUCCUACGGGAGGCAGCAGUAGGGAAUAUUGGGCAAUGGAGGCAACUCUGACCCAGCCAUGCCGCGUGCAGGAAGAAGGCGUUAUGCGUUGUAAACUGCUUUUAUAUAGGAAGAAAUAGACCUUGCGAGGUAAGUUGACGGUACUAUAUGAAUAAGCACCGGCUAACUCCGUGCCAGCAGCCGCGGUAAUACGGAGGGUGCAAGCGUUGUCCGGAUUUAUUGGGUUUAAAGGGUGCGUAGGCGGUUUAUUAAGUCAGUGGUGAAAGACGGUCGCUCAACGAUUGCAGUGCCAUUGAUACUGGUAGACUUGAGU